UACAGAGGUCUCAAGCGUUGUUCGGAUUCAUUGGGCGUAAAGGGUGUGUAGGUGGCGCGCUAAGUCGGGUGUGAAAUUUCGGAGCUUAACUCCGAAACUGCAUUCGAUACUGGCGUGCUUGAGGACUGGAGAGGAGACUGGAAUUCAUGGUGUAGCAGUGAAAUGCGUAGAGAUCAUGAGGAAGACCAGUGGCGAAGGCGGGUCUCUGGACAGUUCCUGACACUGAGACACGAAGGCCAGGGGAGCAAACGGGAUUAGAUACCCCGGUAGUCCUGGCAGUAAACGGUGCACGUUUGGUGUGGGAGGAUUCGACCCCUUCUGCGCCGGAGCUAACGCGUUAAACGUGCCGCCUGGGGAGUACGGUCGCAAGAUUA
rnacentral:rRNA from 1 species